UGAGAAAAGCAGAAGCACCCGCUUCUCGCCUUGGGAACCAUGUUGCCGGGCUAAAGAUGAGUUGAACCACAUCAGUUCUUGGUGUGGACAGCGGGUGGCUUAGGCCGCCCGCUAUUUUUCUGUUUA
rfam:Lactobacillus siliginis strain DSM 22696 Scaffold14, whole genome shotgun sequence.